rnacentral:sRNA from 1 species
GCCGGGCGUUGUGGCGGGCGCCUGUGGUCCCAGCUACUUGGGAGGCGGAGGCAGGAGACUCGCUUGAGCCCAGGAGUUGGAGGUUGCUGUGAGCUGUAAUGCCACGGCACUCUAUCCAGGGGGACAGCUUGAGGCUCUGUCUCAAAAAAAAAAAAAAAGAUUUGAGAACAGAAUUGUGCAGGGCUUAUUUACCCAUGAUUUUUUUUUUUUUUUGAGACCAGAGUAUCACUAUGUCGCCCUGGGUAGAGUGCCAUGGCAUCACAGCUCACUGCAACCUCCAACUCUUGGG